rnacentral:rRNA from 1 species
CACCUGGUGGCGAGUGGCGAACGGGUGAGUAAUACAUCAGAACAUGUCCUGUAGUGGGGGAUAGCCCGGCGAAAGCCGGAUUAAUACCGCAUACGAUCUACGGAUGAAAGCGGGGGACCUUCGGGCCUCGCGCUAUAGGGUUGGCCGAUGGCUGAUUAGCUAGUUGGUGGGGUAAAGGCCUACCAAGGCGACGAUCAGUAGCUGGUCUGAGAGGACGACCAGCCACACUGGGACUGAGACACGGCCCAGACUCCUACGGGAGGCAGCAGUGGGGAAUUUUGGACAAUGGGCGAAAGCCUGAUCCAGCAAUGCCGCGUGUGUGAAGAAGGCCUUCGGGUUGUAAAGCACUUUUGUCCGGAAAGAAAUCCUUGGUUCUAAUAUAGCCGGGGGAUGACGGUACCGGAAGAAUAAGCACCGGCUAACUACGUGCCAGCAGCCGCGGUAAUACGUAGGGUGCGAGCGUUAAUCGGAAUUACUGGGCGUAAAGCGUGCGCAGGCGGUUUGCUAAGACCGAUGUGAAAUCCCCGGGCUCAACCUGGGAACUGCAUUGGUGACUGGCAGGCUAGAGUAUGGCAGAGGGGGGUAGAAUUCCACGUGUAGCAGUGAAAUGCGUAGAGAUGUGGAGGAAUACCGAUGGCGAAGGCAGCCCCCUGGGCCAAUACUGACGCUCAUGCACGAAAGCGUGGGGAGCAAA